rnacentral:rRNA from 1 species
AUUGAACGCUGGCGGCAGGCCUAACACAUGCAAGUCGAGCGGAGCGGCGGACGGGCGAGUAAUGCCUAGGAAUGUGCCUGGCAGUGGGGGAUAAAGUCCGGAAACGGGCGAUAAUAACGCCUUCUAUCAGUUGAGCCAAGGUGGGAGUAGCUAGUUGGUGGGGUAAGGGCCUACCAAGGCGCCGAGCCGUAACUGGUCUGAGAGGAUGGUCAGUCACAGUGGAACUGAGAGACGGUCCAGAGUCCUACGGUAGGCAGCAGUGGGGAAUAUGGAACAAUGGGCGAAAGCCUGAUGCAGCCAUGCCGAGUGUGUGAAGAAGGGUUUCGGAUUGUAAAGCACUUUAAGUUGGGAGGCGUUACCAACAGAAUAAGCACCGGCUAACUUCGUGCCAGCAGCCGCGGUAAUAC